rnacentral:rRNA from 1 species
UACGUAGGCAGCGAGCGUUGUUCGGAAUUACUGGGCGUAAAGAGUGUGUAGGCGGUGUUCCCAGUCUGUUGUGAAAUCUCCCGGCUUAACUGGGAGGGUGCAGCGGAAACUAGAAUGCUAGAGGGUGGGAGAGGUAAGCGGUAAUUCCUGGUGUAGGCGGUAGAAAUGCGUAGAUAUUGGGAGGAACACCAGUGGCGAAGGCGGCUCACUGGACUGGUACUGACGCUGAGGCGCGAAAGCGUGGGGAGCAAACAGG